rnacentral:lncRNA from 1 species
AGGAACCACUUGAUUUUCUCCAUCUUCCUCUUCUUCAACAUCAUCAUCUUCAUCACCUUCAUCGCCAUCGUUCUCAUCAUCGUCAUCGUGGUCAUCAUCAUCAUCCUCCUCGUCAUCGGUAUUACCUCCUUCACUCUCCCGGUCUUCACCGGAGCUCCGAUGUCGGUCUUUGUCGCAACGGAGAACGCAGGCUUCGCAGACAGAGACGGUGGGGGCGAGGCGGGUGCCGGAGGCUUUCCAGGGAGUGGGAGCUUGACAAGCGUGGCAGAGGAGGCUCCUGGAGUGUCUGGCCACUAGGAAGUUGGCCCCAUGAACCUUCUCGUCGCAGUCCCAGCACAGCCUCGCCUGAUCCGACUCGCAGAACAUCCUCGCCGGAAAGCUACACAGCUC